GUCGGUCUGUGAGCCUGGCAUCAGGAUUCUUCGUUGCCCCUCCAUUACUCUCCCUGAGUCUUCCUGGUGUCGGACCGGAAUGAGACUCUCCCUCAGGACUCCGGCAUCAUCUUGUAAGACUCCCGCCCGG